rnacentral:rRNA from 1 species
GCAACUCGCCCUCAUGAAGCCGGAAUCGCUAGUAACCGUAGAUCAGCCUCGCUACGGUGAAUACGUUCUCAGGUUUUGUACACACCGCCCGUCAAGCCAUGGAAGCGGGGAGCGGAUGAAGCGCGCCGUAAGGUGCUCCAAUCCGAAACUCGUAACUGGGGCUAAGUCGUAACAAGGCAUCGGUAGCGGAAGCUGUCGAUGGAUCACCUCCUUU